rnacentral:rRNA from 1 species
GGAGGGUGCAAGCAUUAAUCGGAAUUAUUGGGCGUAAAGGGCGCGUAGGCGGAAUUGUAAGUCAGAUGUGAAAUACCGAGGCUUAACCUCGGUGCUGCAUUUGAAACUACAAAUCUUGAGGGUAGACGGAGAAAACGGAAUUCCACGUGUGGCGGUGAAAUGCGUGGAUAUGUGGAAGAACACCUGUGGCGAAAGCGGUUUUCUAGUUUAUACCUGACGCUGAGGCGCGAGAGCAAGGGGAGCAAACAGGAUUAGAUACCCUGGUAGUCCUUGCCGUAAACGAUGUAUACCUGAUGUAGUUGGACUCAACCCCCGACUGUGUCGUAGCUAACGCGAUAAGUAUACCGCCUGAGGAGUACGCUCGCAAGGUG